rnacentral:lncRNA from 1 species
GAGGUUUUUCCAUGUAACAUCAACAGAAAGCAAAGCUGUAUCAAAUAGGGCCAAAUUCAAGAAGAUGCCAGUGAAGCACUAGGGCACAGCCUUGAUCACAAACCCCAAAGGAAUACUACUUUAAAUUUUAAAACUGCUCAAUUAAUAUGAAUAAGUGAGGUGGUUUGUGUUUGCUUAGUACAAUGCAAAUCACUGAGGAUGUUUGCAGGAAACCUGUUCUCCUUGAUAACUCCUGCUGUCUCUGCAACACCUGCAAAGAUCUUUCCCUGCUAGAGGAGAAACAAGUGGCCUAGAAGAAAAGAGUUCCUCUUUUCCCAACUAUCUGGGACACUUUAAAUAAUGUUGUUUCAAAAUGACAAGAAUGGCGACAUGUUUAUAUCUGCUGUUCCUUUUUGGGUUGGCCUCAUGAGGCAGUUCUUACUGUCAAAUCUUCCACAGCAGGAUGUGUGCACAGAAGAUUACUGCAGGCACUACCCAGAGGAUUAAAAAAAUACAUAUUACAUAUCAUAGGAAAACAGGACAGCUCUUCUAUGUUCUCCGUAGAGGGUCAGAAAUAGGAUGUGUUAUACACCUAGGUUUAUGUCUGCACAGUUUAUGUCCUGCAGCAUGCUGAUUUGAAUAUAUUUAAAGGAAACAAGAAGGAGUUAUGUGGUGGGAGAAAGGUAAAGAAAUAAAAUUAAGUGACAGGUGUAUAUUAGUUUGCUAGGGCUGCAGUAAUAAGGAACCAUGAAUUGAGUGGCUUAAAACAUCAGAAAUGUAUUGUCUCAUGGUUCUGGAGGCUAGAAGUUCAAGAUCAAGUUGCCGGCAGGGUUGGGCCCUUCUAAAGACUGGGAGCGACACUGUUUCAUGCCUCUCCCCUAGCUUCUGAUGGGUAGCUGGCAAUCUUGGCAUCUUCUGGCUUGUAGACACAUUAUCCUGAUCUCUGCUAUUAUCUUCACAUGAAGUUCUCAUGAUGUUCUCCCUGUGUGUCUAUCUGUGUGUCCAAAUUUCACCUAUUUAUGAGGACACCAGUCAUAGUGAAGUCACUAUGACCUCGUCUUAACUCAUUAAAUUUGCAAUGUUCUAUUUCCAAAUAAGGUCACAUUCUGAGGUACAGGGAGUUAGGACUUCAACAUAUGAAUGAGGACUGGGGGGUAGCACAAUGCAACCCAUGCCACAGGUGCUUUAUUCAUGUUAGCUCAUUUAAUCUACAAAACAAUUCCAUAAGAAAGAAGACCAUGUUUCUCUUCUUAGUGAUAAAGAAGUGGAAGCUCAGUAAGGUGAAAUGAUUUGGCCAAAUGGCAUUGUCUUAGUCUAUUUGCAUUGCUAUGAAGAAAUGUCUGAGGCUGGGUAAUUUAUAAGGAAAAGAGGUUUAUUUGGCUCAUGGUUCUGCAGGCUGUAGAUAGACUGAAGCAUAGACAGCAUCUGUUUUCUGGUGAGAGCCUUGAGCUUCUUCUACACAUGGUGUAAGGUGAGGGAGGGCCAGCGUGUUCAGAGAUCACAUGAUGAGAAAGAAAGGAAGCGAUCAGGAUUGGGAGGUGCCAGGCUCUUUUUAACAACCAGCUCUCUUGGGAACUAAUGGAAUGAGAACUCAUUACCACAAGGACAGUAUGAAGCCAUUCUCAAGGAAUCUGCCCCAUGACCCAAACAUCUCCCAUUAGGCCCCACCUCCAACACUGGGGAUCAACUUUCAACAGGAGAUUUGGAGGGGUCAAACAUCCAAGUUAUAGCAUGCAUAGACAGCAAGGAUGGAGCUAACAUUUCAGCCUGUAUUUAAUCACCCAGUCCAUGCCCUUUCCACUACAUACUGCUAACCUGAACUAUCAAGGCCAUAGUAAAAUGCUUGGGUGCCUAGUCUACCUGUUGCCACUGACAACAAUUAUGAAGUAUUAGUCCUUCAUAAUAUAAAGGUUCUUCUGAAGCUCCAAGCAUCAGUAAAGCAGGACUGUAUGUCACAGGUAUAGUGAUCAGAGGUGCCACACCCUGGGUACCAGCUACUUACCCCCAAAGCAGUGUGAAUACCAAGUAAGGAUGGUAUUAAAGCCAGCAACAGCUUCCAGUUCAAGAGAUUCUAAAUGCCAGAGAAAGAAGCAGAUGAGGGAGAAAAAUGGAGGUUGAGCAUCCCUAAUCCAAAAUGUUCCAAAAUCUGAAACUCUUUGCACACCAACAUGACAUCACAAGUGGAAAAUUCCACAUCUGAACUCAUGUGAUGGGUCGUAGUCAAAACAUAGUCAAAACUUGGUUUCAUGCACAAAAUUAUUAAAAAUAUGGUAUAAUAUUAUCCUCAGGCUAUGUGUGUAAGUUAUUAUAUGAAACAUAAAUUUCAUGUUUAGACUUGGGUGCCAGUCACAAAAUAUCUCCUAUGUAUAUGCAAAUAUUCCAAAAUCCAAAAACAUCUGAAACCCGAAACACUGCUAGUCCCAAGUAUUUUAGAUAAGGGAUACUCAACCUUUACAUUCUACAGCUAGCACUAGAGAGCUUUCUUAAAUUAAGGCAAGCUUAAUCGGGAAACAAAAAUGGUCUUUCUCUCAAACAUUUCAUAUAAGACAUUUUCUUUUGUUACUUGGCAUAGGGCCCAAAUAGCAUUUCACCUUUUAGAUAUGGUUUAGAUAAAGAGGAUUUGAUUCUUAUUAACAGAGUUCCCAGCAAUUAGAGAGUACAUUUUUUUUUUCACCAAGAAGGAAAAAUUACAAUAAUUUCAUUCCUUGCAGGGGGCUAUGGAGUUCUUAAUUGUUUGAUUUGUAAGUCUGAAAUUUCAUGGGAUUUCCCAAUUAAAUAUCUAAUUUAUCUUUUAUAUUUAAAAUGAACAAGGUAUGAUCACUGCCCUUAUGAAGUCCCUGGAUUGGAAUUAUGCUUGGUUACUUCUGCAAGCAUCCUCUUGCCUGGCAGGAAACAGCUACAUGAAAUUUGAUAAACUGAUCUUAGCUAGAAGCAGGAUAGAAGGAAACAAAAGGAAGGAAAUUCCUAGAGUGGGAGCUGGAGAAAACUGGUCUGAUUUAGAACUUCUUGCCCCACAAUUCCUAUCAGUAUUCCAUCACUGGCCUUCCAGACUUGCUAUCUGUAUUGGUAUUUCAUGACUUACCCCACCCUCUCUACAACCAUUCCAUAAUAUCUGCUCUGGGCAUUCCAAUACCAGAUACAGACCUGGCCCAGGAUUGUCCUGCUGUCCCCUAGAAGUUAUGCCAAUCCUUGACUGCAAUAAAUUUAAAUGCAUUUUCAGAAGGACUACCAGGUGCUAAGCAAUAUAGAAAAGAGAACAAAAUGAUUAUAAUAUGCCCUUUAUUCCCAGCAGGCUCAUAAUCUAGUAGAAAAACUAGAGAUUUAAACCAAUCAUAACAAUCCAACAAUAAUGUAUUGAUUGGAUUGACAGGGUGAAACAAGAAGAACAGAUUAAGUUAUAAUUUUCUGAGAUCCUGCUUUGUACUCAUCACUUUUUAAAAUACCAGUCACUUUAUUUAUAUGCUUUACUUUACUGCCUUGAGUCCUCUGAACAGCUCUGUAGGUGAAGUACAGGAGAAGGUCUGUUAGGCUCACCACUGCUUUGGAUUGACCCCCACUCUUCUUUCUCACUAUCUGAUGCUGGCUCUACUCCGAACAGGAAUGCCAGGAAGGCUACUUGAUUUCUGUUUCAAUCAAAAACCUAUGUUAGACGCUUACUAAGAAUCUCAUACACUUCUGUUCCCAAAUUUGUUUAUGAUAAUUGUACUAGUUGGGAUAGUAUAUAAUUAGUUAGGUAUGUUGUAAGUCAGGGAAACAUGAGUACAGAAAUAAAGGAAGUUAUUUCUAUGAAAAAUGAAGUUCAAGUUCAAUAUUUAAAAAUAAUUUUAAAAGGGUAACUUGUUAAAACAAAAUGCUACUCUCCAUGACUCCCCCAACAGAGCACACGGACUCAGAAGGACGCGACAUUUUGGUUACUUUCCAAGUGCUUUAAGAUCCUUACUCCACUUUAAAGAAAUCAAAACUGGAAAUCAAAGAAUAUAUGUUUUAUGCUUAUACACUUCAUUACCAAGAGGCAGCACUCCAAUUAGCAAACUGUAUUCCAAUGUCAAGAAAAGUCCUUAUGCUAACUUGUGAUAAAAAGAUCUAUAACUGGAUGUACAUUUAUAUUUCCAGUUGAAAUAAAAUUUAAAGAAAGGCAGGGUUUUUUUUUAUUAUUUCAGACUUUAAAUUUUUUUUUUUUUUUUGAGUACCUGACAAACUACAGGUUCCAAUCUUCUCUGAUAAGUGCUAUUAGCAGGAAGAUUUCUCUGUUGGGUUAACAUACUAUCAGCUAAGGAACUCUGGGGGAGCCUUCCUGCAAAGUAGGUCAAUUCUUUGCCAUAUAAUUCUGAUUAUGUCAAGGAAUUUAUUCAUGAGUUUUCUAAUUCAACCCACUUCAAAUAGAGCCGUAUUUAUAUAACCACAAAAAAUUACAUCCAAAUUACAACUAUAGGAUGUAGCUCCUUGGUGAACACUAGGAAAAUAUUAACCAUUUACAUGGCGUAUCUGCUCUGAAAUAAUAGGGCUAUAAAAUAGCAUAACAAUGGCUAAACUUGGAGACUUUCUCAGAAAGAUAACAGUCCUCUGGUACAAAUUCCAGAUGAUUCAGGUGCUUGCUAUCUGCUAACAGAAUUCUUAUGCUAUUGGACAAUGCAGAGCGUACCAGGUACUGGGCGCUUUGCUAAAAACCCAUCAAAAUGGCAGCCCCAGUAAAGCCACAUUUUCAGGAAAGGCAGUACUUCCAGGCUGAUAUUCUGAGUAGACUGGAUUUUCCCGUUUGAUUUUUUCUCUCUGGUUAAAAGCAUUAUAGCAUAGCAGUUUAUUACCACAUAGACAGACCUGGGUUCAAAUGCAGACUUUGUUAUAUUAUAGGUGUGUAAUUUUAAGUUAUUGACCCUUUCUAAAGCAAAGCUACACCAUCCAUAGUGUGGCAUAAUAAGAGGUACUUCAUGGGACUGCUGCAAGGGUCAAACAAGAGGCUGUAUAUUAGGAUGGGGGUAUUCUCAGCUUCCCUCAGUGGUCCUUUAUGACAUUUUAGUUUCAGCAUUAACCAAUGUUAUAGAAUAUCCUUCUGUAUUGUAUUAGUCCGUUUUCAUGCUGCUGAUAAAGACACACCCAAGACUGGGCAAUUUACAAUUGAAAGAGGUUUAUUGCACUUAUAGUUCCACCUGACUGGGGAGGCCUCACAGUCAUGAUGGAAGGUGGAAGGCACAUCUCACAUGGCAGCCAACAAGAUGGCUUGUGCAGGGAAACCCCCGUUUUUAAAACCAUCAUAUCUCAUGAGACUCAUUCACUAUCAAGAGAACAGCUCAUGAAAGACCCGCCCCCCACAAUUCAAUCACCUCCCACCAGGUUCCUCCCAUGACACAUGGGAAUUGUGGGAGUUACAAUUCAAGAUGAGAUUUGGGUGGGGACACAGCCAAACUGAAUCAUAUAUUAAACGAAAACCCCUCCACCAUAAUCUGAAUCUUGUUUUAGAUGAUUAUAUUCUUUUCUUGGUACAUGAUAUGUAAAAUCUGUAUUACUAGGACAAUUUGGCUGAUUUGCUUCACUAACAUUGGGAGGGAUUGAAUGCUAAAGGUCUAGUAAAAUCUGGAUCCUUCUGGUUAUGGGCAAAGAUUUGCAAGCAAACUCACCUGGAGAAGAGAGGAGACCUUCUGGGGGCAAACAUCUCCAAGUAAUAAGGUCACAGGGGCAGGAUGAGGAAGCGGUUUAUCUAUCUUUCUAAUAUGAACUUUGUCCAUGGAGAAUAGCAGAAAAUGCCACCCAAAAAAGAACACUUUGGCAUAAGGAUUAUUUUGAGCUAAAGGAAGAAGCAGAUAAAAAAAAGAAGCAGCAGCAGAUAUAAAAAAAAAAAAAAAAAAAAGCCCUCAGACUACCCACAUUUGCCUAAAAGCGGGACAUAAAUUUGUAAAUGUGUCCUCCCCUCUACCCACCAGCAGGGACAGAAGUCCAUCACCAAGACAACUUAGCCCUAAGAUCACUCCAAAGGAAUCUACAUAGCUGACUUUAUCAACCAGCACUUACCUUCUAUUAAUUUCCCUAUAUAUUUAACUUUCUGUGAUUUGCUGCCCUAGAAAAUCAGUCCUUUUCCCUUAUCUUGUCACUAUUCUAAAAUUUUAUUGUUCUUUGUUAAGAUGUUAUAUACAUACACCCAAGUUCUAACCACCCCUUUGAGUCAGUCAUCUUUGAGCACUCCCAUGUUGUGUAGGAUAAACAGGUUAAUAAACUUGCAUUUGCUUUUCUCUUGUUAAUCUGUCUUUUGUCAGCCUAAUUUUCCAGGCUCCAACCUGAGAAACUAGGAGGGUAGAGGGAAAAAAAGAUGUUUUUCCUCCCCUAUAUUUACAAUGUCCACAUAGAAUUAGGUAGUAGACAUCCAGGCACUGAAGCCAUAAUAAAAGCUCCCAUGACUCUGCAAACCAAAGCAGUCUUUGCCUUUUCUCUUAUUUCACUCAAGAACUCUAAAGCGCAUGGCCAUGGAAAAGGACACUAGUAAUAAGUUACGGAAACUACUCAGUCCAGUAUCUGGGCAGAAUCACUAUUCCAUAUAAGGUAAGUGGAGGAUUAUCAUCAUUCUUAUUUUUAUUUUGUUUUGGUUUGGUUUUUCACCUUCUUUUCCUAAUCUGAUCAAAGUACAGGCCAUUUCUAGAAUUCUUUUUCCAAAAGUUCUUCACCUCCAAAGCAAUAAAAUAUAAGCUAUAUCAGAUCUUUGGAUGCCACAGAGUCUAUACUCUUCUAAAAUCACAAUAUAGGCAUAAAGUAAACUUUUGGUAUUUGAUGUCUCUUGACUAUUCAGUUACUGACUUUGUCCCUUUGUCCUCCCUUCAGGUUUUGUGUGUUUUAUGGCAUGUUUAUAAAAACCUGAGAAUAUAGUUUUCUCAUCUGUAAAAUGGGGCUAUGACUAUUUGCCUUACAACAGUAUUACAGGGGCAGAUAUAGCCAUGGGCGAAAACCAUAUAAAAGUUCAAAAGUACCAAGUAUUGAUAAGGGUAGGAACCAACAUUAACUCACUGUUUGUAAGAUUAGAAAUGGAAAUAAUCACUCUGGGAAUAUUGGUAAUAUAUAAUAAAGCUGAAAAUAUAGAUACCCUACUUAAAGCUAAAUAUACAUACUUCCUCUGACCCAGCAAUUCCAUCCUCCAUAAUUGCAAGCUUAUGUACACCAAGAUAUAUGCAAAAAAAAAAAAAAUGGUCAUAGCAUAGAACUUCAAACCCAGAUGUUAUAGAAUGGAGUUUUAAAAUUGUAGCAUAUUCAUAUAAUGGUUACUAAAUCACAAUAAAAAUAAGUGAACUAUGAAUAUAUGGAACAGUGUGGAUAAUUCAUAGAUAUGUAAGUUGUAUAAAAGGAAAUUAGGAAAAUAGAAUAUGCAUUGUGCCAGCAUUUACAUGAAAUUUGAAAUCUGAUUAACGAAACUAUUCAUGAAUUUAUUUAUUUAUGGAUAAAACUAUAGAGAAAAGCAAGGAAGUAUUAUGAAAGACAGGAGAGUUUCUGUUAGAGGGGAAGAAGUAAUUAUGAUUGGGAAGAGACAUGGGGAAAAUCCAGGCUGCUGGUUAUGUUAUAAUGCCUUGAUGUGGGUAGGUGUUUUAUCUGUGUUCAUUUAUAAUUACUCCGAGGUUAACCAUUUAUGUUUUAUUCAAUUUCCUAUUCUUCUAUCUGUAUUAUAAAAUAAAUGAAAAAAAUAUACAAUCACAUAUAUAAUGCACCUAAGAUAGUGUGUGGUAGCUAUUAGGUGCUUUAAAAAAAAAGGAUAGCAAUUCCCACCCCCAUCGCCACCUCCUGGAGAAUAAAAGAUAGGUGAAAAUGAUAUGCAAAAUACCAUAUUUUAAAGGUUUUAACUAAAAGCAAUGGACUCACUUAGGUUGCUUUUCAUAUAGGAGAAGUAAAAUGUAUUUAUUUGGGAAGGAGACUCUCAGGGAAUCCACUACUUGAGGAAAUUCAACAUGAGAGUCAUCAGCAGAUGUCAAACAGACCUUCAACCUCAUUUAGAAAUCUUGAAAUUCAAUAUUCAGACUCAUGCAGCAAAUGGGCACAUGGGGUUUGGGGGGGAUUAGGAAAGAGGUCUACACACCCUAUUUAAUGAUGUAGAGCUGCUCUUCCAGGCAGUGGUGCUCAAAGAGGCCCCCACUGCUUGUAUUUAAAUGAGAUUCUGGCACAGCAGCGAGGUGAAUGGUGGAUCAACGCCUAAAGCAGCAAUCUACUAAACAUCUCCGUGACUGGGGAAACCCCAAAGGGCUACAUCCAAACCUUCGUACCUGCAGCCAUUAAUGACUUCUAGAGGAGCAGAGCUCAGGGAGGGACAACAAUAGGUGAGAAGUCAAUUUAAUUUUCAUUCCCUGCCAGACCAUAUUCUUAACAUAACCCAAUGAGAAUUUAUGUCAGAUGCACAUUGUAUAUCUGUCCCUGAUUUAAAUGGCAGAUCUCGUCUCCAUUUCAGAUUCAUUCUUGGGCCUUUAGCUGCAUUUAUUGAAAAGUGGCUGUAUUCACUAUGAACCAAUUUUUCCCUUGGGUUUUAUUACUGAAAUCAUCAAAAUAAAUCACCUAGAAUGCUCCAUCCUACCUGGUUUGAAAGCCAUUGGGGAAACGGUGAAAUUCUUUUUUUAAAAAAAUACAUACUAGAAACACGUUUGUGCACCUGAGACAAUGAUUAGCUAUUGAAUUGAAAUUGCUUUACAUGUCAUAAGGAAAAGUACUAUUUAAACAAGAGUAGCAUUGGAACAGACGGUGGACAUCAAUCCUUAGGAUAUUAACCUGUGAACCAGAGGAUUACAAUAGCAUGCCAAUUUUCACAAACUAGUUCUGGUGUUUGGAAUUAGUCUUCCUUUUCUAUGUUCUUUUUGUCCUAGUUUUUCCGGGAUGAAAAAAAGGAAAGAAAAAUAAAGGCUACCCUGCAAGAGCCCCCUUUGUUAACACACACUGUUUGCAUCCUGGCUCAAGUGUGAAUCCUCCUACCAAGCUGUAAAUCUUCACUCCUGCUUUUCUACAGAAUCCAAGAACAACUUUGUUUGCAAACUUGCUUUGGAAAUGAGAGUGAGGUAAGUUUUCCAGUGUCUGACAGCUAGGAAGUACCAGGACACUGUAUCUCAAAGACUCCAAGUUGAGACCUUUCCUGUGUGCCACAAUGCCGGAACAAACUCCCUCCCCGAGUACGAGAUUCCAGAAGCAGAACCGUGGACAAUUUUUAAACUCAGAAAGCCUCCUGUGGAGUUGGGACUCACAGCUCACAGCCACGAAAUCACUGUCCAUUAACUGUUUGGUUUCCUGAGAGCAGAGAUUAGGGAUCCUCAGUCUUGCCUGUAUAUCAAUACCACCUGGGACCACUCAGACCAGGUGAAUCAAUGUCCCUGCAGGUUGGGCCCAGGUAAUGGUUUAUUACGUGUUCUAUGUAAGUUUAGGGUAUAACCAAGUGGUUAGAAUUACUAACUAAAUCAAACCUCUUUACUGACCAAUUACAUUAGAAUGUAAAUUCUC